CGUGGGUAACCUGCCCAAGAGAUCGGGAUAACACCCGGAAACAGAUGCUAAUACCGGAUAACAACAGAUGAUGCCUAUCAACUGUUUAAAAGAUGGUCCUGCUAUCACUCUUGGAUGGACCUGCGGUGCAUUAGCUAGUUGGUAGGGUAACGGCCUACCAAGGCGAUGAUGCAUAGCCGAGUUGAGAGACUGAUCGGCCACAUUGGGACUGAGACACGGCCCAAACUCCUACGGGAGGCAGCAGGU
rnacentral:rRNA from 1 species